AGAAACAUUCUCAGAGGUAAGAAUUCUCCUUGUGAAUAUGAUGCAGAUUGUAUAAACCUUUAGUUCUGUAUUGUCCAUGAUGAGAUGUUCUUACCACAACCUUCUUAUACUUUUAUGUUGUACAGACCUACAGCCAGACAGGAUGAUCACAGCCAAUGUAUGUUCUCAAAACAAAAUACAUCAAACACUGCACACACUACUAACACAACUACACACAUGCAUGUACGAACACAACUUGUAGUUACAUUUUAAUUUAGUUUCUGUUCUAGAUGAUUUGGUGAUGGGAGCAGUGAACAGUGCAGCCAUGUUGGAUUCAAAGGAUGCUGGGAUCUAUUCUCUCAUCACCUCUGUACCGUCCACGUUUUUGCCCUCAGGCCAUGUUCAAGAGAAUGGACAGUCAUCUGAAAAAGACAAUUCUGAUACGUACCACAUAUACAGCUCAAUCCCCGACAGACCAGCAACCUCAGCCCAGCCAGAUGGGUUGUACAGUCUUCUGCAGACACACUGAAACUACACCACUGACUCUCUGUAGCUAUGUCUCACAUGUCUCACACAAAUACCCUCUUUCUCACAUGAUGUCCUUUAUUAUCACUCAUCAAGUUACUGUAAAUACGCCCCUUAGCAGGUAAUAUAUAUUUUACAUAUGGGUACCUGGCCUAUGUUACAUGCCUGUUCAUAAUAUCUGUUACUGUGAUAGCAUUUUUAUUUUGUAGUUUUGGAGGAGUUUGGAGCAUACUUUUCUUUUUUCCUCCUAGUAAAUGCUGUUUUUAUGUACAUUCCUUCCAUAACAGUCAGAUACAAUUUAUUAAAUAAAAUGUCUUCGUAGUCAAAAUCGAUAAAUACAGACAAUUUAAAAUCACAG
rnacentral:lncRNA from 8 species